AUUAUUUCCUGGCCUUUUGGCUAAGAUCAAGUGUAGCAUCUGUUCUUAUUAGUUUAAUACCUGAUAUGUCCUAUCUCCAAGGACAAUAUAGUAAAUGGAUUUUUGGAGCAGGGAGACAGAAUAGGAGCUCACUCCAUCUAUUUCAUGCAUCUACCUGGUUUUGUAGUACUUCCUGGAAUGGUUCACUCCCU
ensembl:snRNA U2 U2 spliceosomal RNA